UACGGGGGGGGCAAGCGUUGUUCGGAAUUACUGGGCGUAAAGGGCCAGUAGGCGGCCAACUAAGUCGGAUGUGAAAUCCCCAAGCUCAACUUGGGAACUGCAUCCGAUACUGGAUGGCUUGAAUUCGGGAGAGGGAUGCAGAAUUCCAGGUGUAGCGGUGAAAUGCGUAGAUAUACUGGAGGAAUACCGGUGGCGAAGGCGGCAUCCUGGACCGACAUUGACGCUGAACGGCGAAAGCUAGGGGAGCAAACGGG
rnacentral:rRNA from 1 species